UACAGAGGUCUCAAGCGUUUGUUCGGGAUUCAUUGGGCGUAAAGGGCGCGUAGGCGGGCGGGGUAAGUCGGGUGUGAAAUCUCAGAGCUCAACUCUGAAAUGGCACUUGAUACUGCUCUGCUAGAGGACUGGAGAGGAGAUUGGAAUUCACGGUGUAGCAGUGAAAAUGCGUAGAUAUCGUGAGGAAGACCGGGUGGCGAAGGCGGAUCUCUGGAACGCAAACUGACGCUGGAGAACGCGAAAAGCGUGGGGGAGCAAACAGG
rnacentral:rRNA from 1 species